rnacentral:rRNA from 1 species
GAAAAGAACUUUGAAAAGAGAGUUAAACAGUACGUGAAAUUGUUGAAAGGGAAACGAUUGAGGCCAGUCAUGCCUGCGAGAAAUCAAUUAGUCGAUUGGGUUCUUGAAUCUUUUUGGCUGGUGCACUUUUUCGCGUGGCAGGUUAGCAUCAACUUUGAUGGUUGUAAAAUGGUGGUCGGAAGGUGACUCUUUUUUGAGUGUUAUAGCCGGCUGCAGAUGCAACGAUCGGGGUUGAGGUUUGCGGCAAAUGCCUUUGGGCUACUUACCUUCCUUCUGAUCUGUUCACUUUGAAAUGACAGCUUGCUGACAUUUUUUAAAGGGCGUUCAAUCAAUAGGGUAGAGUAGGAUAAAUUUGCCAAGGAUGCUGACGUAAUGACCUUAAACGACCCGUCUUGAAACA